rnacentral:rRNA from 1 species
UAAGGAAUAUUGGUCAAUGGACGCAAGUCUGAACCAGCCAUGCCGCGUGAAGGAUUAAGGCCCUCUGGGUUGUAAACUUCUUUUAUAGGGGAAGAAAUGUGACGGUUCUCCGUCACUUGACGGUACCCUGGGAAUAAGCACCGGCUAACUCCGUGCCAGCAGCCGCGGUAAUACGGAGGGUGCAAGCGUUAUCCGGAUUCACUGGGUUUAAAGGGUGCGUAGGUGGGCAGAUAAGUCAGUGGUGAAAUCUUCGAGCUUAACUCAGAACGGCCAAGUGAUACUGCUGUGCUAGAGUGCGGAAGAGGCAACCGGAAUUCUUGGUGUAGCGGUGAAAUGCGUAGAUAUCAAGAGGAACACCUGAGGCGAAGGCGGGUUGCUGGGCCGACACUGACGCUGAUGCGCGAAAGCCAGGGGAGCAAACG